CAAAAACAUAGUUUCUUGUUUUUUUWUUAGAGAUAUUUUCUGCUCAAUGUUAUUAAAUAGCCGCAGUAAUUUGACUGUGCAAAGGUAGCAUAAUCAUUUGUCUUAUAAUUGAGGGCUGGUAUGAACGGAAUUACGAAAAUGUAGCUGUCUUUUAUUUAAUUUUAUAAGUUGUAUUUAAUGUGAAGAUACAUUAAUUUUUUAGUGGGACAAGAAGACCCUUUUGAGCUUUAUUUUUUAUUUUUUUUUUAUAGAUAUUUAAUUUGGUUGGGGCGAUCAAGAAAGAGUUAAAAAUUAUUUUAUCUUUCUUUUUUUAUUAUUUAGAACCAAAAGUUUUGGAAUAUAGAUUAAGUUACCAAAGGGAUAACAGCGUAAUUUUUUUUGAGAGUUCUUAUUAAAAAUAAAGAUUGCGACCUCGAUGUUGACUUAUAAUUUCCUUUUGGUGCAGUAACUAUAAUGGUAGGUCUGUUCGACCUUUAAUAUUUUACGUGAUCUG
rnacentral:rRNA from 1 species